rnacentral:rRNA from 1 species
CCCUUAGAUGUUCUGGGCUGCACGCGCGCUACACUGAAGCUAUCAACACGUUUUCCCUCCCUGAGAAGGGCGGGUAACCUUUUGAAUCAGCUUCGUGGUAGGGAUCGGGGCUUGCAAUUGUUCCCCGUGAACCAGGAAUUCCUAGUAGACGCGAGUCAUAAGCUCGCAUCGAUUAAGUCCCUGCCCUUUGUACACACCGCCCGUCGCUACUACCGAUUGAACGUUUUAGUGAGGCAUUUGGACCGACGCAUCUCAGUUUAACCGCUGGUUUGUGUUGGAAAGACUUCCAAACUUGAGCGUGUAGAGGAAGUAAAAGUCGUAACA